GAGAGCCUAGUAAAAACAUUACAUGGCCUUGUCAUGGCCAAAUUACAACCCCUGUGGCUCUCA
rnacentral:tRNA from 1 species